rnacentral:ncRNA from 1 species
AUAGGGUGGACCCGCUCCUGCGAGGGAAUCCGGUGCGAAUCCGGAGCUGACGCGCAGCGGUGACGGGUCUCCCGCGUGACGGGGAGCUCCCGAAGUCCGAAUGCUCGCGGGAGACGGUGGCACCGC